UUCACUUCUGCAAGCGGACGUCUGCGAGGAGUAGCCGGUUGCCAAGGCUGGAGCCCUGAGGGCCCAGCUCAGGUUACCCAUCCUGUGUUUACAUCUCCAGAUUUGCUUCCAUCUCAUUGGAUUCGGAGCAGAAGGGGUUGAGGGACCAGAGCCGGACAGGGACUCACUACGUAGCCAUCCCCAAUCGGCUUGAACUCAGGAUCCUCCUGCCUCAGCAUCCGGAAUACUCUGUUAAGGCUUUCUUGGGAGGACUUUGACUGUUCUUGUCUCUUCAUUUAGAGUUGCAAGGCAAGCGGGCUCCCCUCAGACUCCCGUUGAGGAGGCUCAUUUAUGAGGCUAUGCAAAUCGGACACAUUCCUCAGUGUUGGCUUUUGAAUGAGUCACUUGUGACACUCGCUGGACUACGCAGGCGUAGAACAACAUUCACCCAACGACUCGAAUGAGGUCGUCUAUCCUGAUGCCCAAGAAGACAUCCAAAGAAACUGCAAGUGUUCUCCAGAGGCGCGGGCGUGACAGGGUGUGGACUUAUAAAUUACCCUCUCUCCAACCAAACAGGCAAUUAGAAAUCCA